UGGGUCCUACGGGAGGCAGCAGUGAGGAAUAUUGGUCAAUGGACGAAAGUCUGAACCAGCCGUGCCGCGUGCAGGAAGACGGCUCUAUGAGUUGUAAACUGCUUUUGUACAAGGGUAAACCUGAAUACGUGUAUUCAGCUGAAAGUACUGUACGAAUAAGGAUCGGCUAACUCCGUGCCAGCAGCCGCGGUAAUACGGAGGAUCCAAGCGUUAUCCGGAUUUAUUGGGUUUAAAGGGUGCGUAGGCGGAUUGAUAAGUCAGAGGUGAACUGUCCGGGCUCAACUCGGGCACUGCCUCUAAUACUU
rnacentral:rRNA from 1 species